UACGGGGGGUGCAAGCGUUGUUCGGAUUUACUGGGCGUAAAGGGCGCGUAGGCGGCCACCGCAAGUCGGUUGUGAAAUCUCUGGGCUUAACCCAGAAAGGUCAACCGAUACUGCGGGGCUAGAGUGCAGAAGGGGCAACUGGAAUUCUCGGUGUAGCGGUGAAAUGCGUAGAUAUCGAGAGGAACACCUGCGGCGAAGGCGGGUUGCUGGGCUGACACUGACGCUGAAGCGCGAAAGCUAGGGGAGCGAACGGG
rnacentral:rRNA from 1 species